rnacentral:lncRNA from 1 species
CCACAGUAUCUACAGCACAAAUGGUAUCACAGAUGCUUGAUGAUCUAUAUGCUUGAGGGCACUCCUGUGUGCUGUCUCACCAGGGCACAAUCCUUUGGUGGGAACCACAUCCUCAAAUGGUCACCGAAGAGAUAC